AUUGUCGGGGCAUGGAGAGAAAAUAUGACCCAAUUUGGAGAAAAAUUGAUGCAAGAUGGACUCCGCAACUUCAUCGACCUUUACAUGCAGCAGACUAUUAUCUUAAUCCUCAAUUGCGGUAUGGAGAUAAGUUCUCUAAUGUUGAUGAGGUGAGGAAGGGAUUAUUUGAAUGCAUGGAUAGAAUGUUGGAUUAUCAAGAACGUUUAAAAGCUGACAUUCAGUUGGACUCAUAUGACCAAGCAAUGGGUGAAUUUGGGAGUCGUAUUGCAAUUGAUUCUCGAACAUUAAGAAGUCCUACAAGUUGGUGGAUGCGUUUUGGGGGUUCAACACCGGAGUUGCAAAAGUUUGCUAUUCGAGUCCUUAGCCUUACUUGUAGUGCUUCGGGAUGUGAAAGAAAUUGGAGCACAUUUGAAUCGAUCCAUACAAAAAAAAAGAAAUAGACUUGAACAUCAAAGGUUGAAUGCUCUAGUGUAUGUAAGGUACAACACUAGAUUGAGAGAGUGAAGUCUACAAAGGAAACAAAAUGUUGAUCCAACCUUGGUAGAGGAGAUUGAUUCUGAUGAUGAAUGGAUUGCGGAGAAAGAAGAUCUCCUCCUCCCCCUUGAUCUUUGUUGGCUUCAAGAUAAUGAAUUAUUCAAUGUUGAUGCCAUUAGAGUUGUGUCAUCCAACUCCCAAGAGACGCAAGCAUCAUCGGAUCAUAUGGUUUCUUCACAUUCCUACAAAAGGAAACAUAAUGAAGUACCAAGUACAAGUGGAGGCAAAGGCAAAGAGAAGGAAUUGAAUUUGACACCAAUUGAUGAAGAUGAAGAUUUAGAUGAAAUGGGGAUACAUGAUAGUGGACAUUUUCCUACUAUUGAUACAUUGGAUGAGGAUGAUGAUGACCUUGGAGAGGAGGAUUUAAGUUGAAACAAUUUACUCUAGUUGUUAUUUCAUGACUUAGUUAUGGAUUUUUUGUAAAAGUUUAGAACUAUUAUUAUGGUUGACUCUAUUUUCUAUUUCAUGACUUAGUUAUGGCUUUUUGUUAAAGUUUGAAACUAUUAGUAUAGUUGAAUCUAUAAUCUAUUUUAUGAAUUUGUUA